UAAGUUCUAACCCUAACCCUCCUCUCUCGGUCUCCCGACUCUCUCCUCUCCUGUUUUCCCACUACCCCCAAUUCGUUCGCACGCAGCAGCACAACACUCACCCUUCUCUAUCUCUUUCCCAAUAACCUCUCUCUGUCGCUCUCGCUCAUUCCCCCUCGCAGUCGCAGGCUCGCAUCGCAGCUCUUUUGCAGCACAGCAGCCUUUCUGUCUCUCAUUCCCCUUCGUAGUAGCAGCCUCAUCUGUCUCUCUCACAAGUCGCAACAGCAGCCUCUCUCUCUGUCUCUCAUUCCCAGCGACGAAUUCUCACUCUCAAUCACAGCAAAAGGUUAGUCUGAUAGUCUCACACUCACACUCUCACGUUUAAUUUUCUGUUCUACUUAUACAUUUUUAGAGAUUUUAUUUGUAUUUUAGUGAAAAUAUUGAUUGAGCUGUGAUAAGAGAUUGGGUAUUUUUAUGCUUUAGAAAGUAAUUGAAUUGAAUUUGAGCUCAUGACCUCUAAACUUAGGUGGCCUAGGGUUAGAGAUUCAUCUUGUUCCCCCACGAUUGACUUUGUUCGUAAGCCUAUAUUAUGCAUUUUGAUACUGUUAUGUAUCACUAAUAUUUCCAGAGACUAACUGAGAUUAUCUAUUAGUCUUUAUCAAUUUUACUCAGAUACAUGCUCGUACAUGCUGUGUUAUUUGCCCGUACAUGCAGAGCUUCCAUCAUGCACUCAAAAGCCUUCUGCAUCUUCUGCUUGUCCACAUACCCUGCAGCAAGAAUAGACCAGUUAUUUGGGAUUGGAGUCUUACUAAAGAAAUGCAUUUAGGAUCUUGCGGUCUUUAGGAUUUGAACCAUUUAUGUGUAGGCGUUUUGGGCCUUGACCUGCUCUUAGGUUAAAAGAAAUGCAUGUUUGCUCUUCCAAAUUGAUAGUUUGUCUCCAAAGUUGUUCUAAUUGAUAUUGUGUCCAUAACAAAAUAUGUGCUGGAAAACUAUUUUGAAUGUUUGCUCUCUGUGGUUGUUUGUUUGAAUGUUUGCUUUCUGUGGUUGCUUCUUGGAACCCCUGUAGGCUUUAAUUGUUGAGCAGCAGCAGCAUGUUUUGAGCUUAAAUUUUUAAAUAUCAACUUGAAAAUGUUGUUGGUUGACUGACUGUUAAAUACUAACUACUAUCUUCUUAUUAUUUUGUGUGAAUUAGAUGAAGUCAAAGGCGUCAAAGGUCUCAAAGGGCUCAAGCUCAAGUUCAAACUCAAUGAGAUCAAAAUCAACUAGCCCUCAUGAUCAAAUGAACUCAUCUUCGAGUAUACCAUCGGAAGUAAGUAGUCAUACUCAUAUCUUUCUAGUUUCUAUUACUUUAUCCCUUAUGUUUAAUAAUUAAUUCAUUAAUUGUAAUGAUAAGAGUAACCAUCCCAUCUUAUUUGAAUAAUUAAUUGUAUGAUUCUCUUAUUUUAGAUGAACAUUGUUGGUGAAUCAACUCCGCCUCAAAACACCAUGGUGGCACCUCGACAAACCCCGACUUCUCUUAGUGGAUCCGGAAAUCCCUCUGAUGCAACUCCAAAAGAAGGUGAUGCAAGUGACCAAGUAAGUAAAGAAGAAGCUCUUUUAGAAUCAUUAAAAAGUCAUGAAAGGUCUUCAGUUUGGGAACACUUUGAUAGAAAAAUUGAGAGUGGUAGAGUUAAGGGGUUGUGCAAGCAUUGCGCCCAAUCAUAUAUGGCCGACCCGGAUAAAAAUGGUACAACUAAUUUAAGAAACCAUCUAGCAAGAUGUAGAAGCUACGGUCCUAAUAAGGAAAUAUUUGCCGCAAAUAGGCAAAAGAUCUUAACAUUUGCCGGCACGAAAGAUAGGUUGGAAGCUAUAGGUUUUUGUCAAGAGGAAGUAACUAAGGCUUGUGUUGAGAUGAUCAUUAUAGAUGAGUUGCCUUUUACUUUUGUUGAGGGAGAAGGUUUUCGCCGUUUUUGCAUGCAAGCAUGUCCUAUGUGGAGAGUGCCUAGUCGUAAGACAAUUGCUAAGGAUGUACUUAGCUUGUUUUAUUCCGAAAAGGAUAAAUUGAAGAGUCAAUUGAAGACAUUUAGGGUGUGUCUAACAACGGAUACAUGGACUUCUAUUCAACAAAUCAAUUACAUGGUUCUCACCGCCCAUUUUAUUGAUGAUGAUUGGAUGUUGCAUAAAAAAAUUUUGAAUUUUUGUGUCAUUCCAAAUCAUAAAGGAGAGUCCAUUGCUCAACUUUUGGAGGAAUGUUUAGUGGAGUGGGGUAUAGAGAAGGUGUUAACCAUUACGGUUGACAAUGCUUCCGCAAAUGAUUCCGGUUUAAGGGACUUGGUGCACCGAAUAAGUGGGUGGGGGAUUCCUAAUGCACUCUUGCAUGAUGGAAAAUAUUUGCAUAUGAGGUGUGUUGCUCAUAUCCUCAAUUUGGUUGUGAAUGAUGGGAUAAAGUUGUUGAAUACGGCUAUAAAAAGCAUUCGUAACGCGGUUAGGUAUGUAAGAUCUUCCCCUCAAAGGUUGGAAAGCUUUAAAAGGUGUGUUGAGAAAGUGAGAAUAGAGAGCAAAGGGCUUGUGAUUUUGGAUGUCCCUACUAGGUGGAAUUCCACAUUUUUAAUGUUGGAAUCGGCUUUAAAGUUCAAGAUGGCUUUUGAUAGAUUAAAAGUAGAUGAUGGUCAUUACCUUCCGUACUUUGUUAAAGACAAUCAUGAUAAUAUGAGGGAAGGGCCACCUUCGAUAGAUGAUUGGAGUGAGGCGGGGAUAUUUGCAAUCUUUUUGAGACCUUUUUAUGAAGUCACUUUAAAAGUAUGUUGUUCUAAUACUCCAACCGUUCAUACUACUUUUGGUGAUUUGUUUAAGAUCAAAAGUCUCUUGCAUGAAAACAAAGAUGAUGAACUUUUGUCUAUGAUCUCCAAGUUGAUGCAGGAAAAAUAUGACAAGUAUUGGGGUUCACUUGAGGACAUGAAUCGAUAUCUUUUUAUUGCACUUGUGCUUGAUCCUCGCCACAAAUUAGAGAAAGUUGUUGAUUAUUUUGAGAUACAAUUUGGUGAGGAUGAAGAAAAAGUUGAAAGUGCCACAAAUGGGGUGAAAGACUUGUUGAUUGAUCUUUACAAGAUUCAUGAAGAUAUGUCUUUGAGUACACAACAAAGUAUAAGUGGUGGUGGUAGUUCUCAAACGACAAGUGGAGACUCUUCAUCAAGUAUGACCGAAAUAGAAAGAAAGUUGAAAGAAAAAAGUGAAAUGAGAAAAGCAAAGAGAGCCCGGGUUGUGCACAAUGAUGUCGACAAGUAUCUUUCCGAUCCUAAUGAAGGAGAAGAAGAUGAGAACUUUGAUAUAUUGAAUUGGUGGAGGGUGAAUGGGGUUUCUAAGUACCCUAUUUUGGCAUGUGUUGCAAGAGAGAUCUUAGCUAUUCCCGUAUCAACCAUUGCUUCGGAAUCCUCCUUUAGUACAAGUGGACGAAUAAUUGAUCCAUAUCGUAGUUCUUUAAGUCCAAAAAUGGUGGAGGCUUUGAUAUGUACUCAAAAUUGGCUUAGGUCCAUUCAUGUUGCAUUACAUCAUGAGCCAACCAUUGAGGAGAUGGAGUUUUGUGAAGAAGUUGAGAAAGGUAAUUUUAUUUAUUGCAUUUGAUUUUGUUAGAUUAUUUUAAAUCACAUUUUAAUUAGUAUCAUUUUUUUAUUAUUUGUAUGUAGAAAUGACAAGUGGAAGUUCAAAAAAAGGUGAUAUGUUGCCCCCUAGGCCGCCCAAGCGGUAGCAAGCAAAUUGUCAUUGAAAAAGUAGGUGGACUUUGAAAGACUUGAUUAUAAUGGACUUUGAAUUGAAUGUUUAUUUUCAUUGUUUUUGACGAUUUUAUUUAACUUUGGAAUGCUUUUGAUGAUUAUGUUGAAAUGGGACUUAUUACAAAAUGGCUGCAAGUUGUUUUCAAAUUUUCAUAGAAAUUUUUUUAGCUACUUGGAAACCCAAAAAAAAAAAAAAAAAAAAAAAAAAUCGAACCGGGCCGAAACCGAACCGAGAAAAAC
rnacentral:lncRNA from 1 species